GCUUUUUUUUUUUUUUUUUUCCAAUUUUUUUCUUAUUUGUUUUUAAAACGCGGCAACUAAAAUGAGAAAAACUAAAACUGAUUUUUUGUUUUAGUUUCUUUUAUCGCUGAGCCCACUCCUCUACUACUAUAUAAGACCAUUAUUUUUUUUUUUAAAUAAUUUAAACUUUUAUAAAUUCAUUUACAUUACUUAAUAAUUACAAUAGUAAAUUUUAUUUAAAUUUAUUAAAUUCAGUAAUGAUUUAUAAUGAACCUCUUUUAUAGUUUAUUUUUUUUCUCAUUAUUCUUUUUUUUAAUAAUAUUUUUAAAAAUAUAUAAAAAAAAAAGAGUCUCAAGUUGCUUAGAAUAGUUAAUAACACAAGAAAUUUGAUAAUUUGGUAUGAUUUUAUCAAAUACGGCAAUUUAAG
rnacentral:misc_RNA from 1 species